ACUGCCCCAAAGGCUGAGACUGGGAAACAGACCCUAUGCUGUGGACUGAAUUAUACCCCCCCCACCCCAAAUUCACAUGUUGAAGCUCUAACCCCCAAUACGGUAGUAUUUUCUUUUGGAGAUAGAGUUAGAUGAGCUCAUGAGGGUGGGGCCUUCAUAAUGAGAUUGGGGUCUUUAUAAGAAGAGGCACCAGAGAGUUUGCUCUCCUACCACAAAGAGGUCAUGUGAGCCCACAGCAAGAUGAUGGCUGCCUGUGAGCCAAGAGAAGAGGCUUCAGAAUGAAACCUACUUGCUGGCACCUUGAUCUUAGACUUCCAGCCUCCAGAACUAUGAGAAGUAAAUUCCUGUUUAAACACUCAGCCUAUAGUAUUUUGUUACAACAGCCCAAAUUGACUAAUUACAGUCUGGUGGCCCCCAGUAUCAAAGUCAGCAACAAAGUUAACAUAGAGCUUUCUUAGGCCAGCUUUUCCACACAGAGGGCAAUCUCCUAAAAGUAGUGUGAACACUGGGACAAUGUGAUCCUUCUGUAGUUCAUAAGCAUCAUGCCUGGGUUUUCGCGUUCCCAUGUGAGCUGUGCCUCCCUCAAACCUUGUUAUGGCAUCGGCACAUUAUCCAUCUGAUGUGAAAAAGAAAAAAAAAAAGGAAGAAAAUAUAAUUAAAAGGAGAAUCAAUGUGAGAGGGAAGGACAUAAGCAUAAUACUGUAAAACCAAUGGAAGGCUUGAUGAAACUUAAAACUAGGAAGUUCUAUUUUAAGAAAUUGCAACAUGCAGUUUAACUGUUUCUGGAUUUCUUUGCCGGCUGAAAAGUGGGGAUGAUGAAUUGACACCCACUGCAGGGGCAUUUUGUUGCCUCAGCAAGUUUCAUGCAGCUGCUUCAGUACUGACUACUGCGGUAGCUGCUGACAGCGUCUCCCGAGGGUCCCCAGCUAAGAGCCCUUAGACUACAUGAGUGGACUAGGACACAAAUUACCUGUGCCAAAAAGGUUUGCCUUGCCUUUGGGAAAACCUCAUCUUCCCUAGAGGGAAAUUCUUUUUUUUUUUCCUGAGACAGAGCCUCAGUCUGUCACCCAGGCUGGAGUGCAGUGGUGCGAUCUUGGCUUACUGCAACCUCCACCUCCUGGGUUCAAGCAAUUCCCAUGCCUCAGCCUCCCGAG
rnacentral:lncRNA from 1 species